UUUCAACCAUUAAACAAGAGGAGGCUACUCAGUUUGACAAAUCACGCAGAAGUAAAAUUUGCAUUCAGACGAGAGUAAUGUUUAUUGAUCAUGGAAUAUAGGCCAGGGUUGAAAAGAAGAAAUAGUGGCGCUGGUGAUGGAUAAGACGGAAUUUUUAAUCUGUGAUAAUACAAUGGCCAAUCGACUGCUAUUAAUUAGGUAGCACUAUUGCUGUAGCUGCUCUUUUUUUGUUCCCUUCGUUAUCACUGGAACCAGAUGUGCGUAGGCAAUUAAUAUCAUCUUUAAUUGUCAGACUAUCUAGCGCGGCAAAAUGUUUUUCUUGACAGACUUGCCAGGUGUUAAAACGUGUGGCAGGUAAAAGAAUUUUAAAUCUGUUGAAGUCUACAUGAUGUCUUGGUAAAUAUCCACCCACUUACCUACAAACUUGUAUCUUUG